GUGAACGCUGGCGGCGUGCUUAACACAUGCAAGUCGAACGGUAACAGGAAGUAGCUUGCUACUUUGCUGACGAGUGGCGCACGGGUGAGUAUUAUAUAGUUAAUGUGCCUCGAAGACUGGUAUAGCCACUGGAAACGGUGAUUAAUACUUGAUACACCUUUUUAACAUAAGUUAAAUCGGUAAAUGUCUUUUCGCUUCGAGAUCAGACUAUAUCCUAUCAGUUAGUUGGUGAGGUAAUGGCUCACCAAGGCAAUGACGGGUAGCGGUUCUGAGAGGAUGAUCCGCCACACUGGUACUGAGACACGGACCAGACUCCUACGGGAGGCAGCAGUGAGGAAUAUUGCACAAUGGGGGGAACCCUGAUGCAGCAACGCCGCGUGGAGGAUGACGGAUUUAGGUGUGUAAACUCCUUUUAUAGGUCAAGAAAAUGACGGUAGCAUAAGAAUAAGCACCGGCUAACUCCGU
rnacentral:rRNA from 1 species